GCUAGUUGAGAUCACCUUUAUUUAACCAGGUAGGCUAGUUGAGAACACCUUUAUUUAACCAGGUAGGCUAGUUGAGAACACCUUUAUUUAACCAGGUAGGCUAGUUGAGAACACCUUUAUUUAACCAGGUAGGCUAGUUGAGAACACCUUUAUUUAACCAGGUAGGCUAGUUGAGAACACCUUUAUUUAACCAGGUAGGCUAGUUGAGAUCACCUUUAUUUAACCAGGUAGGCUAGUUGAGAACACCUUUAUUUAACCAGGUAGGCUAGUUGAGAUCACCUUUAUUUAACCAGGUAGGCUAGUUGAGAACACCUUUAUUUAACCAGGUAGGCUAGUUGAGAACACCUUUAUUUAACCAGGUAGGCUAGUUGAGAACACCUUUAUUUAACCAGGUAGGCUAGUUGAGAACACCUUUAUUUAACCAGGUAGGCUAGUUGAGAUCACCUUUAUUUAACCAGGUAGGCUAGUUGAGAACACCUUUAUUUAACCAGGUAGGCUAGUUGAGAUCACCUUUAUUUAACCAGGUAGGCUAGUUGAGAACACCUUUAUUUAACCAGGUAGGCUAGUUGAGAUCACCUUUAUUUAACCAGGUAGGCUAGUUGAGAACACCUUUAUUUAACCAGGUAGGCUAGUUGAGAUCACCUUUAUUUAACCAGGUAGGCUAGUUGAGAACACCUUUAUUUAACCAGGUAGGCUAGUUGAGAACACCUUUAUUUAACCAGGUAGGCUAGUUGAGAACACCUUUAUUUAACCAGGUAGGCUAGUUGAGAACACCUUUAUUUAACCAGGUAGGCUAGUUGAGAACACCUUUAUUUAACCAGGUAGGCCAGUUGAGAACAAGUUCUCAUUUGCAACUGCGACCUGGCCAAGAUAAAGCAUAGCAGUGUGAACAGUCAACACAG